GAUGAACGCUGACAGCAUGCUUAACACAUCAGCAAUUGAUUGGUGGCGGACGGGUGAGUAACGCGUAAAGAACUUGCCUCACAGGUAGGGACAACAUUUGGAAACGAAUGCUAAUACCUAAUCCUGUGAGAGAGCUUUGCGUCCAAUUAGCUAGUUGGAGAGGUAACGGCUCACCAAGGCGAUGAUGGGUAGCCGGUCUGAGAGGGUGAUCGGCCACAGGGGGACAGGGGCACGGCCCGUACUCCUACGGGAGGCAGCAGUGGGGAAUAUUGGACGAUGGACCAAAGUAUGAUCAAGGAAUUCUGUGUGCACGAUGAAGUUUUCGGAAGGUAAAGUGCUUUCAUUUGGGAAGCGGUACCAACAGAAGAAGUGACGGCUAAAUACGUGCCAGCAGCCGCGGUAAUUC
rnacentral:rRNA from 1 species